rnacentral:rRNA from 1 species
AGAGUUUGAUCCUGGCUCAGGACGAACGCUGGCGGCGUGCUUAACACAUGCAAGUCGAACGGAAAGGUCUCUUCGGAGAUACUCGAGUGGCGAACGGGUGAGUAACACGUGGGUAAUCUGCCCUGCACUUCGGGAUAAGCCUGGGAAACUGGGUCUAAUACCGAAUAGGACCCCGAGGCGCAUGCCUUGGGGUGGAAAGCUUUUGCGGUGUGGGAUGGGCCCGCGGCCUAUCAGCUUGUUGGUGGGGUGACGGCCUACCAAGGCGACGACGGGUAGCCGGCCUGAGAGGGUGUCCGGCCACACUGGGACUGAGAUACGGCCCAGACUCCUACGGGAGGCAGCAGUGGGGAAUAUUGCACAAUGGGCGCAAGCCUGAUGCAGCGACGCCGCGUGGGGGAUGACGGCCUUCGGGUUGUAAACCUCUUUCACCAUCGACGAAGGUCCGGGUUUUCUCGGAUUGACGGUAGGUGGAGAAGAAGCACCGGCCAACUACGUGCCAGCAGCCGCGGUAAUACGUAGGGUGCGAGCGUUGUCCGGAAUUACUGGGCGUAAAGAGCUCGUAGGUGGUUUGUCGCGUUGUUCGUGAAAUCUCACGGCUUAACUGUGAGCGUGCGGGCGAUACGGGCAGACUGGAGUACUGCAGGGGAGACUGGAAUUCCUGGUGUAGCGGGAAUGCGCAGAUAUCAGGAGGAACACCGGUGGCGAAGGCGGGUCUCUGGGCAGUAACUGACGCUGAGGAGCGAAAGCGUGGGGAGCGAACAGGAUUAGAUACCCCCGUAGUCC